GGGGGGGUGGGGGGAGGUCCCUCAGCCCAGCUUGUGAAAGGGUGCAGACUAGGCUGAGGGACCCCACCAGUUUACA
rnacentral:pre_miRNA from 1 species